CGGAGGAAAAGAAACCAACAGGGAUUGCCCUAGUAACGGCGAGUGAAGCGGCAACAGCUCAAAUUUGAAAUCUGGCCCUCGUGGUCCGAGUUGUAAUUUGUAGAGGAUGCUUUUGGUGCGGUGCCUUCCGAGUUCCCUGGAACGGGACGCCAUAGAGGGUGAGAGCCCCGUCUGGUUGGACACCAAUCCUCUGUAAAGCUCCUUCGACGAGUCGAGUAGUUUGGGAAUGCUGCUCUAAAUGGGAGGUAAAUGUCUUCUAAAGCUAAAUACCGGCCAGAGACCGAUAGCGCACAAGUAGAGUGAUCGAAAGAUGAAAAGCACUUUGAAAAGAGGGUUAAAUAGUACGUGAAAUUGUUGAAAGGGAAGCGUUUGUGACCAGACUUGGGCUUGGUUAAUCAUCCAGCGUUCUCGCUGGUGCACUUUGCCAGCCCAGGCCAGCAUCAGUUCGCUGCGGGGGAUAAAAGCUUCGGGAACGUGGCUCUUCGGAGUGUUAUAGCCCGCUGCAUAAUACCCUGUGGCGGACUGAGGUUCGCGCAUCUGCAAGGAUGCUGGCGUAAUGGUCAUCAACGACCCGUCUUGAAACACGGACCAAGGAGUCGUCUUCGUAUGCGAGUGUUCGGGUGUCAAACCCCUACGCGUAAUGAAAGUGAACGGAGGUGGGAGCCUCGGCGCACCAUCGACCGAUCCUGAAGUUUACGGAUGGAUUUGAGUAAGAGCAUACGGGGCCGGACCCGAAAGAAGGUGAACUAUGCCUGUAUAGGGUGAAGCCAGAGGAAACUCUGGUGGAGGCUCGCAGCGGUUCUGACGUGCAAAUCGAUCGUCAAAUAUGGGCAUGGGGGCGAAAGACUAAUCGAACCUUCUAGUAGCUGG
rnacentral:rRNA from 1 species